UACGUAGGUGGCAAGCGUUGUCCGGAUUUACUGGGCGUAAAGAGCGCGCAGGCGGUCGUUCAAGUCGAGUGUGAAAGCCCCCGCUCAACUGGGAGGGUGCGCCGAAUACUGAAUGACUAGAGUGCGGGAGAGGAGAGUGGAAUUCCUGGUGUAGACGGUGAAAUGCGUAGAUAUCAGGAGGAACACCGGUGGUGUAGACGGCUCUCUGGACCGUAA
rnacentral:rRNA from 1 species